rnacentral:misc_RNA from 1 species
AAGUCGUAACAAGGUUUCCGUAGGUGAACCUGCGGAAGGAUCAUUACUGAGUUCAUGCCCUUACGGGUAGAUCUCUCCCACCCUUGAAUAUCUAAACCUUUGUUGCUUUGGCGGGCCGCUUCGGCUACCGGCUCCGGCUGGUGAGUGCCCGCCAGAGAACCUUAAACUCUGAAUUACAGUGUCGUCUGAGUACUAUAAAAUAGUUAAAACUUUCAACAACGGAUCUCUUGGUUCUG